rnacentral:rRNA from 1 species
GAUGAACGCUAGCGGCAGGCUUAAUACAUGCAAGUCGUGGGGCAGCAUGAGUAGCAAUACUUGAUGGCGACCGGCAAACGGGUGAGGAACACGUACACAACCUUCCUUCAAGCGGGGAAUAGCCCAGAGAAAUUUGGAUUAAUACCCCAUAAUAUAUUUGAUAAGGCAUCUUAUUAAUAUUAAAGCUUCGGCACUUGAUGAUGGGUGUGCGGCUGAUUAGAUAGUUGGCGGGGUAACGGCCCACCAAGUCUACGAUCAGUAGCUGAUGUGAGAGCAUGAUCAGCCACACGGGCACUGAGACACGGGCCCGACUCCUACGGGAGGCAGCAGUAAGGAUAUUGGACAAUGGACGAAAGUCUGAUCCAGCCAUGCCGCGUGAAGGAUUAAGGGUCCUCUGGAUUGUAAACUUCUUUAUAUGGACGAAAAAGGCAUUCUGUUCACUUGACGGUACCAGUAUGAAUAAGCACCGGCUAAC